GAUGAACGCUGGCGGCGUGCUUAACACAUGCAAGUCGAACGGAAAGGCCCUGCUUUUGUGGGUUGCUCGAGUGGCGCACGGGUGAGUAACACGUGUGUAACCUCCACUUGACUUUGGGAUAUCUUCAGGAAAAUGGGGCUAAUACCGGAUAGGAGCUCUUGCUGCAUGUUGGGGGUUGGUAAGAUUCGGCGGUUGGGGAUGGUCUCGAGGCUUAUCCGCUUGUUGGUGAGGUAGUGGAUUACCAAGGCUGUGAAGGGUAGCCGGCCUGGGAGGGUGACCAGCCACAUGGGGACUAAGAUACGGCCCAGAAUCCUACGGUAGGCAGCAGGGGGGAACAUUGCAGAAUGGGGGGAAGCCAGAGGCAGAAACGCCCCGUGCGGGAUAACGGCCUUCGAGUGAUAAACCGCUGUCGACGGUGACGAGGCGUGAGUGACGGUAAUGAGUAAGAAAGCACCGGCUAACUACGUG
rnacentral:rRNA from 1 species